GCAGUCGAGCGGAUGAAGGGAGCUUGCUCCUGGAUUCAGCGGCGGACGGGUGAGUAAUGCCUAGGAAUCUGCCUGGUAGUGGGGGAUAACGUCCGGAAACGGGCGCUAAUACCGCAUACGUCCUGAGGGAGAAAGUGGGGGAUCUUCGGACCUCACGCUAUCAGAUGAGCCUAGGUCGGAUUAGCUAGUUGGUGGGGUAAAGGCCUACCAAGGCGACGAUCCGUAACUGGUCUGAGAGGAUGAUCAGUCACACUGGAACUGAGACACGGUCCAGACUCCUACGGGAGGCAGCAGUGGGGAAUAUUGGACAAUGGGCGAAAGCCUGAUCCAGCCAUGCCGCGUGUGUGAAGAAGGUCUUCGGAUUGUAAAGCACUUUAAGUUGGGAGGAAGGGCAGUAAGUUAAUACCUUGCUGUUUUGACGUUACCAACAGAAUAAGCACCGGCUAACUUCGUGCCAGCAGCCGCGGUAAUACGAAGGGUGCAAGCGUUAAUCGGAAUUACUGGGCGUAAAGCGCGCGUAGGUGGUUCAGCAAGUUGGAUGUGAAAUCCCCGGGCUCAACCUGGGAACUGCAUCCAAAACUACUGAGCUAGAGUACGGUAGAGGGUGGUGGAAUUUCCUGUGUAGCGGUGAAAUGCGUAGAUAUAGGAAGGAACACCAGUGGCGAAG
rnacentral:rRNA from 1 species